rnacentral:rRNA from 1 species
UACGUAGGGGGCAAGCGUUGUCCGGAUUUAUUGGGCGUAAAGAGCGUGUAGGCAACCAGAUAAGUCCGCUGUGAAAUCUCGAGGCUCAACUUCGAGCUGUCGGUGGAAACUGUCUGGCUAGAGUCCGGAAGAGGAGAAUGGAAUUCCUGGUGUAGCGGUGAAAUGCGCAGAUAUCAGGAAGAACACCCGUGGCGAAGGCGGUUCUCUGGGACGGUACUGACGCUGAGACGCGAAAGCGUGGGGAGCGAACAGG